rnacentral:rRNA from 1 species
AGCAGCCGCGGUAAUUCCAGCUCCAAUAGCGUAUAUUAAAGUUGUUGCAGUUAAAAAGCUCGUAGUUGAAUUUCGGGGUCGGUAGGUUGGUCGUGCCACUGGUAUGUACUGGUCUUACUGAUUCCUCCAUCUUGUAGAACUGUAAUGUCAUUAAUUUAGUGUUGCAGGGAAACAGGACUGUUACUUUGAAAAAAUUAGAGUGUUUAAAGCAGGCUAACGCUUGAAUACAUUAGCAUGGAAUAAUGAAAUAGGACGUUCGAUCCUAUUUUGUUGGUUACUAGGAUUGACGUAAUGAUUAAUAGGGAUAGUUGGGGGCAUUAGUAUUCAAUUGUCAGAGGUGAAAUUCUUGGAUUUAUUGAAGACUAACUACUGCGAAAGCAUUUGCCAAGGAUGUUUUCAUUAAUCAAGAACGAAAGUUAGGGGAUCGAAGACGAUCAGAUACCGUCGUAGUCUUAACCAUAAACUAUGCCGACUAGGAUCGGAUGAUGUUAAUUUUUUAAUGACUCAUUCGGCGCUUACGG